CUUUAUUCCCCGGAGUGGGAGCCCCUUUUAAAGCAGAAAUACGUCAUGUACAGAGUCACAGUUAACAUACAGUAUUCAUUCAACAAUUGGUUAACAGUCUGAGGGGUCUUGUCUAAACCCACCCUACAGGAUGUAAUGUCAUCAUUACAGAGUUCUCCCACCCAUAUUCCAGCUCCAUCUUGGUUACACGAUGGGAGGGGGGAGUGAGUAGUUACUGAACAGAGAGGGUCUGCAGGGGAAACAGUUACUUUAACAGCGAUUCUCCAUUUUGUUACACGUGGCACAUAGCUGUUAACUUGCACAAAGGAAGUGGGGAAGGAGUUUAGUAAAGGAAGCUGGGGAGGGUAGCCAGAUGGGAGGAAUUUACAGAGGAAAUAGUUACUCUUACAAGGCCCCCUUACAAGGAUAUUCUUUUAGGAAAUGUGUGACAAAUAAGACAUAAAUACAAGUGUAUAAUAGUAAAAAAGUCAUUAUUAUUCCAAGUAUUUUGUCCAUAACAAUGGUUUUGCCUUCUAACCUGGGGUCAAUGCCAGGCGCUGGUGAUGAGCAUCCGACUUCUGCAGAGAGGCAGAAGCAAGAUGCCGAACCCGUUCUGACGACCAUUGAUUGACUGAGAGCAUCAGCUGACUUGACUCAACUAAUGAAUGACAAUCUGUGCAUGGAAAUAUGCACAGAAUUAACAUUAGUGUGAUGGCUAUUGACACCCCAAUGAUGCUACCAGAGGUUGUGCUACAUCUACAGCAGCAAAGGAGUUAAACGCCAUAUUUUAUAGUGAAACACUGCCCAUACUGGCUCCUGGCACCAUGACCACUUAAGAUCACUGAAGUGAUUAUGGUGUUCGGAGUAGCCCUUUAAGAACACAAGCACUUUGGGCAUUUUUUUCCAUGUGUGUGUUCAAUUGUAAUUUCUAUUGGUCUUAUUUAUAGCACCAACACUGUAUGUAUGAUAUACUUUUUUUUUUCUUUAAAGGACAAAAAGGGUUUUAAAUUUGAUGUGACAUAUGCAUAUAUAAAUUCUCUUAUUUUUAUUAUACAAAAUACAAAAAAAAAAUAAUAAUAAUUCCCUAGAUUUAAAAGAAUAAACAGACAUAUUAGUACACGCCUUCCCACUGUCAUGGCAACCAUCUUGGUCCUCAUCUGUUAAAGUGACCCAGCCCCUCUUUUUCUAUUUUUUUAAUUUUAGUCCUACAGUUUAAUUUUCAUAACCCUUUUUAUACUUUUAUUUUAUACUAUAUCCUAAUUAUGUUUUAAUUGCAUUUUGGUCACAUGAUCUGUGACAAUCUGUGGUUUUUAUUUUUUUUUAUUUUGCAUGCGAUUUAAACAGGACCUGGUCCAGGGAUUUUGAUCCUAAAGAAAAGAAGCAGCUCUGUCCUACUCACAACAAACCCUAAAGUGGGAUGUUCACUCAGAACAGCCGCAGCAAACUUUGGAUGAAAGCCCAGGGCAAAAGUGAGCCAGUCACACCCCUAAAAAUGAAUGAAAGCAGUUGGCUUAUCUCCAAUCAAUCUGUAUUCACAUGUACAGAUGGGUAGCCAAGCUUGGGCAGAUUGAAAUUUAGAAAUAUAACCACAGAAACAUUAACAUACAAUUUAAAAAACAAACAAACCGUGACAUAUGCAGUGACAUAAUAUAAUUUCUCAACUAAAUCUGGUGAGCGCGGUGACCUCUGGGGAUUGAGGUUGUUGUUAGUAACUGAGAAGACCCUCUCACUCAGAACAUUUGUGAAUGGACAUGCCGUGAUCCUUUGCUCAACCAACCUAAGGCCUAGCAAUCACCUUGUUCCCAGUAAGUAAGAGGCUCUAUAGUAGGAUGUCAAGUGGGUUCUGAAAAAUAUCAGAGGUGCUACUCUGUGAUAAUAGGGUUUCACUGGUCCCACCAGAGUGGUAAUGACCUUGGCCCAAAUGGCUGCUGCUCCACUUUGUCUUCCAACACUAGCGAAGGCAGAGGAUCUUUGUGCAGAGGUGAUGCCACUGCUAUAUGGUGUUUCACCACUAAUUGUUUCUCUCAUUACCAACUCCCUUUGUUCCUCUAUUACCAUAUCCCUCUUUUACUGCAUCUCAUGCACUUUAUUAACUUUAUUAACUAGUCUGUCUUUCCAUAUGGGCUGGAAUAUACUUUCAGUGCACUCAUUUUUGUGGGGGGGGAAAAUAAAAAACAAAACUUUUUAAAAAUAAUUUUGUACUUUUUUUUUUUAUGCCUCUGCAAAACAGCUAAAAACUGCAGUGUUUAUAGGGCUAAGCCCGGCAGUGAACUCACC
rnacentral:lncRNA from 1 species